AGCGAACGCUGGCGGCAGGCCUAACACAUGCAAGUCGAACGGGCUCUUCGGAGCUAGUGGCGGACGGGUGAGUAACACGUGGGAACGUGCCUUUAGGUUCGGAAUAAGCCCGGGAAACUGGGUCUAAUACCGAAUGUGCCCUUCGGGGGAAAGAUUUAUCGCCCUUAGAGCGGCCCGCGUCUGAUUAGCUAGUUGGUGAGGUAAUGGCUCACCAAGGCGACGAUCAGUAGCUGGUCUGAGAGGAUGACCAGCCACAUUGGGACUGAGACACGGCCCAAACUCCUACGGGAGGCAGCAGUGGGGAAUCUUGCGCAAUGGGCGAAAGCCUGACGCAGCCAUGCCGCGUGGAUGAUGAAGGUCUCAGGAUUGUAAAAUCCUUUCACCGGUGAAGAUAAUGACUGUAGCCGGAGAAGAAGCCCCGGCUAACUUCGUGCCAGCAGCCGCCGCAGUAA
rnacentral:rRNA from 1 species